GAUGGAUCCAAUGUCUCUUGUCUCCUGUAUUGGCCGGUCAAUUCUUUACCACUAGCGCCACCUGGGAAGCCCAUAAAGGAACAUGUCAGGUAGCCCUAAAAGAUGAACUGUGGUUGGGAAUGGGACACCUUUUUUCUACUUGUUCCACCUUCAGGAUAUGACUUUUACCGGCCUUGCAUCCUGUGGACUCAGGCCUCUUCCAUCAUCAGCUUCCCAGAGAGGUUGUGUCUGUCACCUCCUUUAUGUCCCCCAACUUCCCAGGGAAGAUGGAGGCAAGGGGGGGCAGUCCUGGGCUGGGGGAUGCACAGGCCAGUGGGUUGGUCCAGAGGGUCACCGUUGUCCUGGCUUCAGUAGGAACUAAAUGGGACACGACCCCUCCCCCUCCUCUCCCACCUCCUCCUACCUGUGUUUUUGGCUCUUGGUACCCCCUCCUCCCUUACUUGGGAGCAGGGGGUGGGGAAUUUAACUCCAGGGUAAAGUUUGAAAUUUCACAUCCCAGCCUGGGAGAGGGCCCCACAGUUUUCUCUCCACUUCUGGAAAUGUGAAAGGAGCCUUUGUAGGCUUGAUGGAGGAGGGAGGUAAACUGUAGCCCAAAGAACUAACUUUUUCCAUGACUCAGCUCUCCUGGUGUGGGGCGGGCAUGGGAGGUGCAAGAACCCAGCAGGGCAGGCUGGAGCCGCCUUCCAGCCCAGAGCCAGCAGCUCACAGUCAGAGGUGGGCCCCCCCUAGAGAGUCAGCCCUGUUACCUGCAGGGGAACUUGCUGGCCCUGGAUGGGCCACCACACUGUAUCUGCCCUGUGCUCCCAUGGCUCUGUCCCAUUUUUUUCCCCAGGUGGUGCCAGUGGUAAAGAAUCUGUCUGCCAGUGCAGGAGAGGCAAGAAACGCAGGUUUGAUCCCUGGGUUGGGAAGAUCCCCUAGAAGAGGAAAUAGCAACCCACUCCAGUAUUGCCUAGAGAAUCGCAUGGACUGAGAAGCUUGGUGGAGUGAAGUCUAUAGGGUUGCAAAGAGUUGGACACAACUGAACUGAUCCAGCACACAUGCAUAUUCUGUCUCAGGUUCUUUUCCUUUAUAGGUUAUUACAAGAUGUUAAAUAUAGUUUCCUGUGCUAUACAG